rnacentral:rRNA from 1 species
UCUUCGGAGAGUUUGAUCCUGGCUCAGGACGAACGCUGGCGGCGUGCCUAAUACAUGCAAGUCGAGCGAAUCGAUGGGAGCUUGCUCCCUGAGAUUAGCGGCGGACGGGUGAGUAACACGUGGGCAACCUGCCUAUAAGACUGGGAUAACUUCGGGAAACCGGAGCUAAUACCGGAUACGUUCUUUUCUCGCAUGAGAGAAAGAGAA